rfam:Triticum aestivum genome assembly, contig: Triticum_aestivum_CS42_TGACv1_scaffold_050272_1BS
CUACUACUCCCUCCGUCUGAAAAUACUUGUCAUUGAAAUGGAUGUAUCUAGAUGUAUUUUAGUUCUAGACACAUCCAUUUUGAUGACAAGUAAUUCCGGAUGGAGGGAGUAUUAU